GUUCCCGUAGCUUAACUGGAUAGAGCAUCUGACUACGAAUUAGAAGGUUGGGAGUUCGAAUCUCUCCGAGAACG
rnacentral:tRNA from 1 species